rfam:Alphaproteobacteria bacterium MedPE-SWcel Alphaproteobacteria-MedPE-SWcel-C17, whole genome shotgun sequence.
CAACAGGGGUCCGCAAGAACCCCGUGAGGCGCCAGCCCAAUCUUGCAUCCUUCAAACCCGUUCCAGGAGGAUGCUUCAUG